GUGGGAAUAGCUCAGUGGUAGAGCAAAUGCUUAGCAUGCACAAGGUCCUGGGUUCAGUCCCCAGUACCUCCA
rnacentral:tRNA from 1 species